CAAUUGAUGGCACUAGAGGUUUUGUCAGAGGAAAUGAGGCCCUAUAUGUGUUGAAGGAGAGAUUGCAUUAGGUGUUAUGGGCUGUCCUAAUUGGCCAGAGGACGUUUCCAACAAAUCAAUCACUGAGGUUUGGGAAUAUGAAAACUGCAGUCUGGAUCAGGGAUCCUUAUGGUGGCACAUGUUGUCUGUGGAACAUGGACAAAGAGGCUAUCAAAUAUGCUGGGUAGAUCAGCCAUAGUUUCUGAUGGUUGGACUAAAUGCAUUGUUGAUGGAUGUCGCAUUGUGCCUGAAGCACGCUUUUGUAUUCCAGAGAGUCAAACCUGCGAGUCAUUGCCACUUUCAGCUUUAUUCAAUGCAACAAAUGAUGCUGACAGUAUUGACGAGAGAGAAAUUCUUCUAUUGUCAACAUGCUGCGGAAGCUUAUGCAAGUAUCUAAUGGUGGCCUGUGGUAGGGCGUCAGUAUUCAUUCUUCGAGCAAGAACUUAGAGAAUCAUCAAGGUUUGGGAUCGUGCUGUUGGUGUAAUAUGUGUGCAUGAAGCAGGUGGAAAGGUGCCCAAUUCUUCACUGUACAUUUUCAAGAGUUGCGUAGUUUUUGUUUUUUUUGUAUGCAAAUGUUAAUUCACAUCUUAGCUAUUUUCCAUAGAGUUUCUAUAUUAAGAAUGAUUGUGGAACUUGUACCAAUAAUUUUGAAGAUAUAUUAUAAAAAUCUCAAAUUGUCUACUCCCUUUUGAUCAGGCG
rnacentral:misc_RNA from 1 species